UGGGGAAUAUUGGACAAUGGGCGCAAGCCUGAUCCAGCAACGCCGCGUGAGGGAUGACGGCCUUCGGGUUGUAAACCUCUUUCAGUAGGGACGAAGCGAAAGUGACGGUACCUACAAAAGAAGGACCGGCCAACUACGUGCCAGCAGCCGCGGUAAUACGUAGGGUCCGAGCGUUGUCCGGAAUUAUUGGGCGUAAAGGGCUCGUAGGCGGUUUGUCACGUCGGGAGUGAAAACUCAGGGCUUAACCCUGAGCGUGCUUCCGAUACGGGCAGACUAGAGGUAUGCAGGGGAGAAUGGAAUUCCUGGUGUAGCGGUGGAAUGCGCAGAUAUCAGGAGGAACACCGGUGGCGAAGGCGGUUCUCUGGGCAUUACCUGACGCUGAGGAGCGAAAGCAUGGGGA
rnacentral:rRNA from 1 species